GGGGUUAUGGUGAACCCAGGGGACAUGAGGUCCAGGACUAGAGGGGUAUGGUGUGAACCCAGGGGGACAUGAGGUCCAGGACUAGAGGGGUAUGGUGAACCCAGGGGGACAUGAGGUCCAGGACUAGAGGGGUAUGGUGUGAACCCAGGGGUACAUGAGGUCCAGGACUAGAGGGUAUGGUGAACCCAGGGGGACAUGAGGUCCAUGACUAGAGGGGUAUGGUGAACCCAGGGGUACAUGAGGUCCAGGACUAGAGGGGUAUGGUGAACCCAGGGGUACAUGAGGUCCAGGACAUGGGGGAAACUGUUCAUAUAAUUAAAAUUCCAUCAUUUCAGUUAUUUUCUAUUAAUCUCUUCGAUUACUGUGCUUAAAAGCCUAC
ensembl:lncRNA